GCUGUCUACUGUAUGCCUCUCUCUGUUUGUAUUCGCUGGGGGUCAGCAUGCACCUGUAUGUUUGAGCACUCACUGGUCUCUCUCAUUCCAACUGGUUGUUUAUCAAUGCUGUCAUGCUCGCAGCUCGUGCAGCAAUCAGCAGGAGAGAAGCAGAACUGGACCCGGUGGACUCAAAAUAACAAAAAACUCAGAGCAAAGGAAUUGUGUUUGGAGAGUUUCUGCCUCCAUCUUGAGUCGAAAGAAUUCUGAGGGAGAAACUUGCCGAGCUGGAAUGAAGGACUGUCAACAGGCAGACUUGUGUGCAAAAGGGUGGCUGUAUGAACUUUUGAGUGGAUGGAAAGCAGAAACCGUGUUCCCACCGGUUUGUUUUUUUAUGCUGAAGCUUUGGCCUACACUUCUCCUGAAGCCUGACUCCAUCUGAUUUCAGAGGAUACCCUACUGAGAGGAGGUUAAUAAUACACUCCAGCACAACUCGAGUCAGGCUCAUUAUCAGCUGUCAGGAAGUUCAGGAGUCAGGAGUUCAACAACACCUCGAGAUCCUCAAUCUUUAAAUGGAUUUAAAGCUCUCAUCAUGUGGGCUCUCCUACAAGUCCUGUACAUCUUCAGAAACCUGAGUCUUACCUGUGACGGGGUGAGGACCACGGAGAGGAUGAUACCAUCGUCCUCGUCCACGGCAUCAGGUGACGGCACAAACGUCGGCUCUGACGGGAAGAAACCCUUCUGGUACCAGACCUGAGGGCACACGCACACGCACACGCACACGCACACGCACACGCACACACACACACACACACACACACACACACACACACACACACACACAGUGUUAGUAUUAAUAAAGUAAGUAUAUUACAUUUACAAAUAGAAGCUUAUUGUUUCCCUUUACUACUUACUAAUUUUAAAAGUAGUUAGUGUAGAUUAUUAUACUUGGAUAAUUAUCCAUCGUAUUGUUGGGCCACGAGUGAUCAACAACUGCUUCAGUAGCAAAAGGCAUUUCCGACAAUCGGCUAGGCUAAAAACAAACUGGCAGUGGGAUGUGGUUAGGGCGCUGGCUGCUGGGGAGGGACAGGAGUGUCCCAGCUGGAGGCCAGACAGCUGAACGGAAUCAGGUAAUCAGUCACAUAAUAAAUGCAUGGUGAUGGCCUGGUUCUGUUCUCUUGCAGUAGGCUGGGUUCCAGAGGAGACGGAGACGCUUGGUGAGCCGAGACGCUUGGUGAGCCAAGACGCAGCGCAGCCUGGAGAGCGACGAACAGCAGAGUGACCGACUGGAGAGCGACCUGUUAGUGUGCUUGUAAUAGAAAGCUUACCUGUGAGCGAAUAAAGCGGUGUGUGCAACCCUAUACUCUCUCUCUGUCAUCCCUGAAUCUGACUGUGGACAAGAGGCUCCACACAAACCUUACCUGGUCUGUGUUGGCCUUUGUCUCGUCUCAAGAACUGAAAGAUUUGGU